GCCGGGAUGGUCUCAAUCUACUGACCUCACGAUCCACCCACCUCGACCUCCCAAAGUGCUGGGAUUACAGGCGUGAGCCACCGUGCCCAGCCCACUUUCUUUUUUCUAAGAAUUCUCAAAUAUUACUUGAUCAGGCAGUUCUUACCUAUAGAUGAUUUGUACUUAGAUUAACAAUCACUUUUUAAUUCUCAUGGAUGAUUUAUACUUAGUUUAACCAUCACUUUUUAAUUCUCACCUUUGUUUAUUCUGUUUGUGUAGAAGUCCAUGCUAAAAGGUCUUAUACAUUGGGCAUUGAACUAGGUACUAUAUCAGCUGCCUGUUCCAGGAGAAGCUUGAGAGAAAAUAAAUUUUGGAUUAGUCUAAAGGAAGUUACCUUAUUUCUUGAAGUGUCAAGUGUUUUUCAGGGAAGACUAUCACAGGGGGAGAGAGUGAACAAGCCAGACGGACUGAGAUGUAACUUUCUAAUAUCAUAAUUUUUUAUUUAUUCCUAUUGAUGAUAAUAGUGACUAAUACUUAGUCAUCAUUUAUUCAGUGCUCUGUCCUAACUGCUUUGCAUUGUCAAUAUUCUAACAUUAGCAACAUGAAUUAUUACUUAUGUUUCCCCAUGUUAGAAAUGAAGGAACUGAGACCUGGAGAGAUGAUGUUAUGUGCUAAGGUGACAUAGCUAGGAAGCGAUGCAACUGAGAUUCAAACCAGGUUUGUUGUUUUCAGGACCUGAGCACCAAAUUAUUAUAGUGUUCAAUUCCUUUCACCCUCAUACUAAUCUAGACCUUUCAAAAUAUUUGACAUUGAGAUUAAAAUGCAAAGUUCAUGUCAAAAGUAAAGUAUAAUUAUUUUAAAAUUGUUUGCCAUUCAAAAUAAUGUACCCCUCAAACAGCUGAUAGCUGCAUUUGUUUUCUGCUCCUCACUAACAUCUUAAUAUAUAAAAAUCUCAAUGUGUAUGCAUAUAUACAACACAAUAGUGUUGUAGGUGUAGUUGAUAGCUGCCAGCAAACAGUGCCAUCUGUGUUUUCUCUCUUUUUUUUUUUUCUUUUAACUUACUGGAAAAUGUGACUGAAGCUCAAAUUAUGAAUAGGAGCUUAAAGUUCACGUUUAGUAUCUCCACCUUUUAACUCUACCACCCUUUAUUUGCACAAGAAAAUGUGAUCCUCUGUAGUGACUUUGCCCUGUUUACAGAAUAGGAGUGUGUGCUAUUACUGAUAGGAUGGGCAGGUCUUACAGUUAAAAAUACCCAUAAGACAAACAGAUCCUGCAACCUUUACAUAGUCAUUUCUUUACUUUGUGCUUCAUAAAACCCUGUAGGCUAGAGCAAGAAAUUGAUGUAAGUCGAUUUCAGACUGUCUUUAAAAUACAUCCUGGAAUUCUAAAUUAAUGUGAUUCAAGAUCCUGGUAUACUAAGAGAGAUAUUUAAGCAUUUGAUAUCUGAUCUCUCUAGAAGAAUGUCUGCUUACCACACGUACAGUAGUAUCAUAUGGGAGAAGCUAGUUUCUAAAAUAGUUCGGGGUGGAUGUUUGCUUCUGAUUAGCCUGUGUGUGUGUUAGAUGAAUGAGCAAUUGGGAAGUCAUGACCAUGUGUUUGCUGUCAUUUAAACUGCCAAUCUAAUCUAAAUAUACAUGUGGGUGCCUACGGAGACUUCUUCCUUUUCAAGAGGAUCGUUCUUAGUUCUUAACAGCCUUCAAUUCCUUGCCAACACACAUGAACUUAGGGGCACUUCUGUUUUCCUGAGGGCUAUACUGUUUUCUUUUAAAAGAGUGUGGAUCUGGACCCUCAUUAACUUGCCUGUAGGAAGAGAAAAUUGAAGAGAGAGAGGAAGAGGCUGAGGAGAAGACCUUUACCUGUGCUGUCCUGAGCUGCCAUUGUUGAAGGACAUCCUGUGAGCUAAUUUCAGUCCCAUU